UGUUUCCGGUACUGCUACAACCCCCUUCCUGAAAAUAGGCGAUCUGAGCACCUGUGCUGGGGUGCUGGGCAGAGGUGAACCCGGUGUAGUUCCAGAUUUCCGUGCACAGGGACCAGGCAUGGAGCCCUGUAAGACCCUGCAGAGGGAGGAGAGAACCUUGCUGCACCCUGUGUCAUGCUGUUGCAGGAACCUCAGAGCUUCAGCCGAUCUUGGAUGGACCUUGAAAAAUUCAUGAUAAUUGAAAUAAGUCAGAAACAGAAGGAUGAAUAUGGUAUGAUCUCACUCUCAGGCAGAAGUUGAAAAACAAGAUCAGGAAAGAAAACACACGUAGAACCUGAACUGGAAUUGGCAUAUUACACCAAAGUAAAAGACUCUGGGGUGGGUGGGUGGGGAGAAUACAGGUCCAAGAAGGAUGACAGAGGACCUAGUGGGGGUUGUAUUGCUAUAUGGAAAACUGGGAUAUGUUAUGCAUGUACAAACCAUUGUAUUUAUUGUUGAAUGUAAAACAUUAAUUCCCCCAAAAAGAAAUUAAAAAAAAAAAAAAGAAAAUAACUUCAAAAGGGUUCUGGGCCUGGGAGACACCUUAGUAGUUAGCACCAUAUUUUCUCUCUCUAAUUAUCUCUCUCUCUCUCUCUCUGU